rnacentral:tRNA from 1 species
GGAGUUGUAGCUCAGUUGUAGAGUGCUUGCCUCACAUGUAUGAGGCAUGGGGUUCGAUUCUCAGCACCA